rnacentral:lncRNA from 1 species
GGGGUACGGGUGUUUUACGCCAGGACGCUGAUGCGUUUGGGUUCUCGUCUGCAGACCCUCUGGACCUGGUCACGAUUCCAUAAUGUACCACAACAGUAGUCAGAAGCGGCACUGGACCUUCUCCAGCGAGGAGCAGCUGGCAAGACUGCGGGCUGACGCCAACCGCAAAUUCAGAUGCAAAGCCGUGGCCAACGGGAAGGUUCUUCCGAAUGAUCCAGUCUUUCUUGAGCCUCAUGAAGAAAUGACACUCUGCAAAUACUAUGAGAAAAGGUUAUUGGAAUUCUGUUCGGUGUUUAAGCCAGCAAUGCCAAGAUCUGUUGUGGGUACGGCUUGUAUGUAUUUCAAACGUUUUUAUCUUAAUAACUCAGUAAUGGAAUAUCACCCCAGGAUAAUAAUGCUCACUUGUGCAUUUUUGGCCUGCAAAGUAGAUGAAUUCAAUGUAUCUAGUCCUCAGUUUGUUGGAAACCUCCGGGAGAGUCCUCUUGGACAGGAGAAGGCACUUGAACAGAUACUGGAAUAUGAACUACUUCUUAUACAGCAACUUAAUUUCCACCUUAUUGUCCACAAUCCUUACAGACCAUUUGAGGGCUUCCUCAUCGACUUAAAGUUAUUUAUCAGAGAGUCUGAUGCUGAAAGAGAACAGAACUUGCCUGUCACAGUUACUAGAUAUAAUGAAAAGCAUGAGAAACUUAGUAAAGAAGUAUGAACCACCCAGAUCUGAAGAAGUUGCUGUUCUGAAACAGAAGUUGGAGCGAUGUCAUUCUGCUGAGCUUGCACUUAACGUAAUCACGAAGAAGAGGAAAGGCUAUGAAGAUGAUGAUUACGUCUCAAAGAAAUCCAAACAUGAGGAGGAAGAAUGGACUGAUGACGACCUGGUAGAAUCUCUCUAACCAUUUGAAGUUGAUUUCUCAAUGCUAACUAAUCAAGAGAAGUAGGAAGCAUAUCAAACGUUUAACUUUAUUUAAAAAGUAUAAUGUGAAAACAUAAAAUAUAUUAAAACUUUUCUAUUGUUUUCUUUCCCUUUCACAGUAACUUUAUGUAAAAUAAACCAUCUUCAAAAGAGCUAGAA